UGCAAACCUGAAGCUUCAAACUUCCCAUCUCUGAAGAUCCUGCAUCAACUACUUUGCCUGUGAUGAUCUGUAGUAGUAUCACUCCAAACUGGUACACAUCUUCUUUCUCUCUAUCUUCAUUACUGCACAUAGUUGAUUUAACAAGUUUCAGAAUUUGAUAGAAGAGAACACAUUGUAUUAUACUUUAGAGAUAAAACAACAACCUCCAAGGAUGUUUGGCUUGAGGGCUCUCUUCUCCAACCUAUAAAUGCCAUGAAAUGUUCUUAGAUUGAUCAAUUAAAAGAAGAAAGAAAGAAAUUUAGAGGGUUAUUGAACGUAGCAAUUUAAAUGAAUUACUCAAAGAGUUUUAUACCUUGGUUGGUAAAGGAAUAGUAUAUCCACUAAUUUUCACGGUGAGUGUUUCAUCAAGCAUGAUAUUCUCUAUUUUCAGAUUGUUCCCAAAGAUCCCUGGUGCUACUCCCAUGUGCAAGAACUGUAUCCCUCGAGCGACUCCUAUGGCUAUCGCCAUUCUCUGAGGCCAUUUCAGUACUUCUUUCUUCCUAGAGUCUGAUUUCAAAAUUCCUAUAAUGAAUAAGCAUUUGAAUCUAUGGAAACCUGAAUAUUUUUUCUGUCGUUUUCAGGUUAUUACUUGUAAGAAAGUCCCGCAAUGAUCCACUAGAGAUGUAUUCUUGGACAAUGAAGAUGGUGUUUCCAGCGUGUUGAUUGUGGUCUUGGUUACUGGCAAUGCAGUGUCCAAGAACGCUAACCAAAUGCAUAUGCCUUAGCUUCGACAAAACUUCCAUCUGUUGAGUUAAGCUUUGUGGCAAACUCUUCUGCUUCAGCUUGAUACAUCGCACUGUUACUGGUAUACCUUCUCUGAGACAACCUUUGUACAGCUGUUCGAAUACCAAAUAUAUGAAUCAAUCUGGUCACUAGAGACUCAAGUCAUGUAAUUUAUUUUUUUACCUGUUCGCAGAAAAGACUUGCUGCAUCAAAGUCGUUAGUCGCUUCUUCCAGUUCCUCCAAGGAGAAGACGCGGUACGGUGGCAAACCAAUCACUG
rnacentral:lncRNA from 1 species